GGGUGUGAAGAGUUACUCCCGGACCGAGUUGAUGAGGAGAACUUACCCGGCUGACC
rnacentral:snoRNA from 1 species